UACGGGGGGGGGCAAGCGUUGUUCGGAAUUACUGGGCGUAAAGGGCGCGUAGGCGGCCUUCUAAGUCGAACGUGAAAUCCCUGGGCUCAACCCAGGAACUGCGUCCGAUACUGGAAGGCUUGAAUCCGGGAGAGGGAUGCGGAAUUCCUGGUGUAGCAGUGAAAUGCGUAGAUAUCUGGAGGAACACCAGCGGCGAAGGCGCUUUCUGGCUCAUUCCUGACGCUGAGGAGCGAAAGCGUGGGUAGCGAACGGG
rnacentral:rRNA from 1 species